rnacentral:lncRNA from 1 species
GACCUGUGUCUGCCCAGACUUACCUCAGUGAUGGAGUGUGACCUGAGAGUUCUAAGCUGAAGGGAAACUGAGGCUGAGAGAUGUCUGCUGCAAACAAGUCUCCACCCACUAUGACCUGAGUGUGCCCCCAGGGCUCACUCUCCCCUGGCCUGCAGUGCUUUUUCUCUGGGUGUGCUGGAGAGUGGAGAUGGGAAAAGCUACAGUCUCUGAACCCAACUGAAACAGGCUGCCCUGCACUCUGGACAGACCGAUCCCUGGCAGUGGCAGGUGUGCUGUUCUGCAAGUGUGUGCAUGUACCUGAGCGUCCCACGGAGUGUGUGUGGGCUUGAGAGAAGGUACCCACCUUCUGUCAGCUAUCAGCUGACUUCACUAAAACAGCAGGGGAACAGAAGAGAGGAGGGGAAUGCUGGCUGGGACAUUCACAGACACCUUCCAAUCUGACAGGGGCAGGAUGUUUGGUUUAAUUCUGAAGACUGGAGAGGGUAUAAACAGGAGAGCCGGAGGCAGCUGCCGCUCCCCCUGCUGCUGCUGCUGCUGCUUUUGCUGUUGCUGGAUUUCUGGUUGGAGCUUUCCUGAUGACAGAGAUUGAACUUGUCACCAAGGAACGGGACACCCCUAAUGAGCAGGACGUAGUCUAAAGAGACCCCAGCUCAGCAUGGAACUGGACCAACUCCUGACAGACUACCCAGCACUGAGUCACAGUGGCAUCGUGCUGACCCAAGGGAGCCACAGAGUCCAACUACUGAAAAUACAAGCCAGUCCCUAGAGCCACCAGGUUCGGACUUCAAUGUAUACUUUGUGGGUUCAGUUCAACUCCACCACGCUUGUACAUGUAUGACUGGCUUCUGUCCCUGGACCAUCCCCCUUCUCCUUAAGUGAGGACUCUCUAGUAUGGAUUUAGUUCACUGAAGCAGACACAUGAGUGGAUGUUUUGCUGAGAACAGACACGUGGUGUUUUUCCGGAAGCUGUCUUGUGAGAGGGCAUGUGAUGUUUUGCUGGAACAGACACUGGAGAGGGAACAUGGUGUUUAAAAUGAAUAAAGAAGUACCAAUGAGCUUUGUGUGGUAAUCUGGCUGCUUUGCGCCACUUCUGGGGACUUACGGUGAUAUGGCAGAGCCUUACAGUUUCUUCUGGAUCAAGUCGCUGCUACUGAAUUGUGUUGGGUGUUUUCCGAUUGGGUUGGACUGCCACUAUUGAUUCCUGGUGGAUGUUUUGGACUGGACUGCUGAUAUCCUGACCACAAAAUUGAAAUCCCUCUUGUCCUACAAACCGUCUUCUUCCUCUACCUCUGGACAGUGGGAUAGAAGGGAAGUGAAGGUGUUUAAGAACCCGAAGUAAAGUAGGUUUUG